GCGCCUACAGCGCGACGGCGGGUAGGGUACCAACUUCUCGACCUAUUCUCGGGAGGGAGCUGCGGGGAGAGAGAUGGUACUUGGGAUCGAAGGAGGUAAAAGGGGAGACCGCGGUAAGAGGUGGUUUAGCUCGGCGCAGGCUCUCGAGGGUACCGACGCGGCAACUGCAACCGCGCCUGUGACCGGAGGGGAGCGGAUAGAUCGUCCAGGUCCUCUACGUGUGGAAGUGGGAGAAGUAGAUGCUGUUCAGCGCGCUCGCCCCUGCGGGAGUACGGCAGCGUUAGCAGGUAGGGGUAGCAGCCGGCAGCGAAGAUGGAGCAGCAGCUGGGCGGCGACGAACGCGAGGGCAAGUAAGCUUCUCGGUGGUACACGAGGGACCUCGGUCUCCUAAGGCUCCUACUAAGAUGCACCUCAAGCUGAAGCUCCUCAUCAAUCCUACAGGGUCCGUCCUCCGGAACGGAAAAGCUAGUAACGAUGAAAACACGAUCGGAAGAAUUCCGUUUGAAUAAAUUGAAUACAGACAUGAGUCUAUAACAACGAAGACGACUGAGAAGAUACUAGCUCGAGAACAUAAGCUCGGGAGCUCCGGGGACCGAACAUUAUACUACGAACAUACUGAAUAAAAUAAACAUCUCAACACAACACUAUAGAAGGGC
rnacentral:rRNA from 1 species